UACAUUUGUUUUAUGUUUAUUUAACAAUUUAAAGUUUAGUUCAUAGUUCAAUACUGAGGUGCUUAGUAUAAAUAAUUAUUAAUUCAGAUUUAGUUUUUUUUAAUAUAAAAACAAUGCUGCCUCAAAGGGACCCUGCGAUCCUGCAUUGUAGUAUGUAGAAUGGGAAACUGAAUAGAUAGGACAGAACAUUUUAUAUAUGAUGGCGCACAUCGUAGUCUCCAACUAUACCAUAAAACCUCACAUGAUUUUUGAUCGAGAUACAUCCGUUUGUAUUAAAGUCAGUAGGAAGUCACACAGAAAGCACUCGUGUGCGUUUCAGCGGUUAAAUCUACGCGACUGUUCUUGUAGAACACAAAUGAGUAAAGGUGCCGCGGGACGGUGAGGGGGCCGCUCGAGCAACUCCAUGAACAGAUUAUGCCGGCCAGCAGGAAAGGGCAACAAUGUUUGUUUUUUUUUUCGAAGGAAUAUUCGCAGGCCUGCACGUUAGGUCUCCUGAGCCUUUGUCUUCACGCCUGGACCUCUGUGGUGACAUCUCCCCCGGGUGACACGGUGUCCCUGAACUGCUUGUACUCCACUAACAGCAGCAGUGACGGCUCAUCGAUGUUCUGGUACAGGCAGAUCUCCGGCCGCCCCCCUGAGCCCAUCCUGCAAUCCUUCAGCCCUGACGGUACGUUCAGCUAUUCUUACUUGAGGGCCGGAGAGCACUUUACACUGGAAAAAAAUCACACCUUAGUCAUCCGAAAUGUCACUUGAGAAGACGUCGCUACUUAUUACUGCACCAAGCUGGAAACGGACGUGUGGCGCUUCAGCGACGGGAUCGAGCUGCGAGUGGACGGCCGUGGUUCACCACAUUUGGCUCCUGCAAAAGGGUCUGAAGCCUUGCUUUAUGUUUUCCUUGCUUUGUCAGUUCUCUUCAACAUUUUACUGUUUCUCUAUAUAGCCACUGAGAAGAAAUGGUUCUCUUUCAGAAAUCCAAAGAAAACUGAGUUGCAGCAACCCUGUCAUGAGAAUGACCUGCAUUAUGCAGAAGUGAGUACCAUGGAAAAUCAACAACGGAGAGGGCAAAUGAAUAAACACACGGUGUAUGCUGAAGUCCAAUUAAGAAAAUAGAACUUUAAAAUGGACUUUCAUAUUCUGAAUCGGCGGUGCUUUUAAACUUAGGCUGCCUCACACUGCAAGUGUGUCUGAAUACUGGCAAGAAACCAACUGCUUUAUUUGGUAAAAUGCAAAAAAAAUAAACACAUAUAUGCCUUGUUGGUUUACUUCACAGAUGACCACUGCAUUAUUAAAAAAUAUGUUUUCUAUCAUGAACUACCAAGUGUGAUUUUUUUUUCUUUUCUUUUUGCAAUGUAAUACUGUAACAGUCAAAUUUGUAUUGAGCUGAAUUAAGGGGGAUGACCGUCUCACCUUGUAAGAUGACAAAUAUAAUCAAGUUUACUGAAUAAUGGUCAGGG